UGGGGAAUAUUGCACAAUGGGCGCAAGCCUGAUGCAGCCAUGCCGCGUGUAUGAAGAAGGCCUUCGGGUUGUAAAGUACUUUCAGCGGGGAGGAAGGCGAUAAGGUUAAUAACCUUGUCGAUUGACGUUACCCGCAGAAGAAGCACCGGCUAACUCCGUGCCAGCAGCCGCGGUAAUACGGAGGGUGCAAGCGUUAAUCGGAAUUACUGGGCGUAAAGCGCACGCAGGCGGUCUGUCAAGUCGGAUGUGAAAUCCCCGGGCUCAACCUGGGAACUGCAUUCGAAACUGGCAGGCUAGAGUCUAGUAGAGGGGGGUAGAAUUCCAGGUGUAGCGGUGAAAUGCGUAGAGAUCUGGAGGAAUACCGGUGGCGAAGGCGGCCCCCUGGACAAAGACUGACGCUCAGGUGCGAAAGCGUGGGGAGCAAACA
rnacentral:rRNA from 1 species